GACGAACGCUGGCUGCGUGCUUAACACAUGCAAGUCGAACGCUGAAGCCCGAAGCUUGCUUCGGGUGGAUGAGUGGCGAACGGGUGAGUAACACGUGAGUAACCUGCCCUGAUUUCGGGAUAAGCCUGAGAAACCGGGUCUAAUACCGGAUACGACCAACCCUCGCAUGAGGGUUGGUGGAAAGUUUUUCGAUCGGGGAUGGGCUCGCGGCCUAUCAGCUUGUUGGUGGGGUAAUGGCCUACCAAGGCGACGACGGGUAGCCGGCCUGAGAGGGCGACCGGCCACACUGGGACUGAGACACGGCCCAGACUCCUACGGGAGGCAGCAGUGGGGAAUAUUGCACAAUGGGGGAAACCCUGAUGCAGCGACGCAGCGUGCGGGAUGACGGCCUUCGGGUUGUAAACCGCUUUCAGCAGGGAAGAAGCGAAAGUGACGGUACCUGCAGAAGAAGUACCGGCUAACUACGUGCCAGCCGCCGCGGUAA
rnacentral:rRNA from 1 species